UACGUAGGGCGCAAGCGUUUGUCCGGAAUUAUUGGGCGUAAAGAGCUCGUAGGCGGUCUGUCGCGUCGGCUGUGAAAACCCGUGGCUCAACCCCGGGCCUGCAGUCGAUACGGGCGGACUAGAGUGCGGUAGGGGAGACUGGAAUUCCUGGUGUAGCGGUGAAAUGCGCAGAUAUCAGGAGGAACACCGGUGGCGAAGGCGGGUCUCUGGGCCGUAACUGACGCUGAGGAGCGAAAGCGUGGGGAGCGAACAGG
rnacentral:rRNA from 1 species